GCAGCCGUAGCUCAGCCAGGUAGAGCGCAACGUCGCCAACGUUGAGGCCGAGGGAUCGAAGCCCUCCUGCUGCUCCA
rnacentral:tRNA from 6 species